GGCUCCUCCUAUACAUGCUCGAAGAGGAAUUAAAGCAGUGCCUUCUUCUUCUUCUUUUUUUUCAAACAGUGGAAAGUUUACACAAAGGAAAGCCUUUAAACCUGGAGCCCGACUCUCUCUUCUUUCUUAAUACUUGCGAGAUGAAAUCAAACUCCCUUUUUGAAAGUUACAUGUCAAGUCUCCCGUCCUUCCUUCCCUUUCUCUCUGUGUUCUCUAAACCUGUCCAGCUUUCCUCCCCUGCAGCAUCAGCCGUUCUGCUGCGGGUCUUAAUAAAUGCUUCCUGGGGGUUUUCAUGGGAGAAACGGCGCAGCGAAGGAGACGCUGCCAGACUAAAUACAGGAACUUGGAAUCUAGGCAUUGGAAGAGAGAGUGAAAGAAAAUCCAGUUCUCCUUGGCUACAUGGGAAGGAGUGCGUUGUUGUUUACUUGAACGCAAAUGCAAACGGAUUUCCAAAGAAUGGUGAAGGAGAAUCGAUCUGAAUUGGUCAUCACUGAAAUGCUUAAAUCUGCAGUAUGAACAAAAUGAUUUUCAGGUGGAGGAGCUCAGUUUCUCCCGUCUCGUCUGCGUCACAUUAUUCUGUCACGACGCAGCGGCAGUGUGAACAAAUCCGCGAAAAACAGAUUGCUCAUAAAAGUCACUCGCUUUGAACUGGACUAAUUUUGGG